GAUGAACGCUGGCGGCGUGCCUAAUACAUGCAAGUCGAGCGAACAGAUGAGGAGCUUGCUCCUCUGACGUUAGCGGCGGACGGGUGAGUAACACGUGGAUAACCUAUCUAUAAGACUGGGAUAACUUCGGGAAACCGGAGCUAAUACCGGAUAAUAUAUUGAACCGCAUGGUUCAAUAGUGAGAGACGGUUUUGCUGUCACUUAUAGAUGGAUCGUCGCCGCAUUAGCUAGUUUGUAAGGUAACGGCUUACCAAGGCAACGAUGCGUAGCCGACCUGAGAGUGUGAUCAGCCACGCUGGAACUGAGACUCAGACCAGACUCCUACGGGAGGCAGCAGGAGGCAAUCUGCCACAAUGGGCGAAAGCCUGACGGAGCAAAGCCGCGUGAGUGAUGAAGGUCUUCGGAUCGUAAAACUCUGUUAUUAGGGAAGAACAAAUGUGUAAGUAACUAUGCACGUCUUGACGGUACCUAAUCAGAAAGCCAAGGCUAACUACGUG
rnacentral:rRNA from 1 species